GCCUGGAUAGCUCAGUUGGUUAGAGCUUGGUGCUGAUAACACCAAAGUCGCAGGUUCGAUCUCUGUUUGUGACA